GAGCACGUAGGGGGUUUGUAAGUCAGAUGUGAAAGCCUUCUGUUCAACGGGAGAAUUGCAUCUGAAACUGCUAAUCUUGAGUAUAGGAGGGGAGAAUGGAACUUCUGGUGGAGCGGUGAAAUGCGUAGAUAUCAGAAGGAACGCCGGCGGCGAAAGCGAUUCUCUGGCCUAUUACUGACACUCAGUGUGCGAAAGCUAGGGGAGCAAACGGGAUAGAUACCCCGGUUGCCAGCUUAU
rnacentral:rRNA from 1 species